GAGUUUGAUUAUGGCUCAGAUUGAACGCUGGCGGCAGGCUUAACACAUGCAAGUCGAACGGUAGCAGGAGAAAGCUUGCUUUCUUGCUGACGAGUGGCGGACGGGUGAGUAAUGCUUGGGAAUCUGGCUUAUGGAGGGGGAUAACUACUGGAAACGGUAGCUAAUACCGCGUAAUAUCGAGAGAUUAAAGACUGGGACCUACGGGCCAGUUGCCAUAAGAUGAGCCCAAGUGGGAUUAGGUAGUUGGUGGGGUAAAGGCCUACCAAGCCUGCGAUCUCUAGCUGGUCUGAGAGGAUGACCAGCCACACUGGAACUGAGACACGGUCCAGACUCCUACGGGAGGCAGCAGUGGGGAAUAUUGCACAAUGGGGGGAACCCUGAUGCAGCCAUGCCGCGUGAAUGAAGAAGGCCUUCGGGUUGUAAAGUUCUUUCGGUGGUGAGGAAGGUAUCAACUUUAAUAGAGUUGGUAAUGACGUUCCCAAA
rnacentral:rRNA from 1 species